rnacentral:lncRNA from 1 species
GCCUUAAAAAAAGAAAAAUGAUCUUAGAUAUUAGGGAUUGCCAAAUUAAAAGCACAUUUAUAUAUCAAAAUUGUCUCAAAAUUGGUGGGACGGAAGUUAAAUAUUUAAUGGUUAAUCAUAAAAUACUGAGGAAUUUCAUAAAAUGAUGGCAGUGCAGCAUUGUAAGGCAGAAGUAUUUUAAUAUACUGUACGGGUUAAAUAAUUAUACUACUAUCAAAAUAAAUUGUGUAGGGCUGUUCUUGGUUAAAAGAACAAGUUUAUAAAGUGAACCCUACCAUAAGGAUGGGUUUUAUGUUAUCUAAUUAACAGACGAUUUAUUUUAUGUAACAUGAUUUUACAGAAGAUAAUACACAUAUAUAUAUAUAGUUAUUUAUUAAAAAAUUAUUUAUUAAUAACGUACGACAACUAUUCUUCCUUCAUUUGCAAAUAAUAAAUAAUUUAAAAGAUUAAUUAAAGUUAUAUCCUAAACGAUACUAUUCUAUUUAGAUUGGACGGAGAUUUAUUCUCAUAUUAACUAUACUCAGAGUCUGCUCUUUAGUUUUCCCACUUUGACUUGGGAUUCAUAAAAAACAUCUAUACAAUUUUCCGUUUUCCAUAUAGAUUUUAUAUGUUCAGUGCUUUCCGUGAAAUUACAUUUCCAAUUUUGUUGCAUUACUUUUAUUUUAGGUUUUUUACUCAGAAUUGACUUCCUAUUACUAAAUCUUGUAAAUCAUUUUCAAGUAAUCCAGAAAAGCUCAAACUAGAAGCCUUGGUAACAAAAAAAUAGUCAUUCAUGUACGAGGCAAGAAAUCAUAAAAAAAAACGAACCUCUCGAGGGAUAGAGAAGAUGGUCAAGAUAUCAAUAUUAAUGAUGGAGAGUUUGAUCAAAAUGAAAUACUGAUUAAAUGUACAUUAAUAACUAGAAGGGAAACGCGUUUGCCGAAUGAAAGGAGGGAGCAACAGAAAAUAGUGCAAUAGUAAAGUUUUGACAUUUGUCUAUUAAACUAUUUUAUCUUUCGUUAUAAUUUUUAUUUAGUGACCGUAUAAAAAUUUUAAUUAGUUGAAAUGUUAAUUAUUGAUUAGUUAUCUAUACCUUUACUUUUGGAUCAUAAUGUAAUAAGUACUGCUAAUAAUUUAUUUUUUGACUAUUUUAUGUUAAUAAAUUUAGGUUUUAAUGUAAAAAAAGAAUCUUUGUAAUGUCAUAAUAUGAUUUUGACUUUAUACCUACGUCUUUCACCGUCUUUGUAAUAUAAUAUACCGGGGUUUCAUUGUCCUUUCAUGCGUAAGCACCUUUGAUCAAAGAUUUUCAUUAUAAACUAACUGAUUAACCAUCUCUGAAUUGAUACGAAUGUGUGCAAUGGGCAUAUAAAAAAAAAGAAACCGAACCUCAACAUGGG